rnacentral:lncRNA from 1 species
UGGUUUUUAACUGUGAAAAUUUAUUUUGCUCAUGUUACAUGGCAUUGCCCAGCUGUGGCCCUGCAGCUUUGCUCUAGAAGCUACUCAGAAGAAGCAGCUUCUCCUUGGUAUUAUGCUUCUUGUGGUGGAGGGAAAGGAGCACAGCGACUACCCUAGGCCCUGCUCUUAAACGCUCUGCUAGAAUUCUCCCAGUCGUCAGACAUUCACAUUCCCCAGGUCCCAGCAAGUCCUAUGGCCAAGACCAAGAUCUAAAAUGACCCCAGAAGCUCAUGUGUUCAGAAAGUGGGCUUUUGGAAGGUGACUGGAUCAUGAAGAUUCCAAUUUAAUUAGCGGAGUAACCCACUGAUCAAAUGCGCUCAUCAUUUGAUAGCACUUUGGCAGGCGAUGGAAACCAGUCAAAGAUGUACGGAGGGGAGAAAAUGGUGAAGUGGAGAUCAUUAGCAACGUCCAGCCUCUCUAAGAUCCAGAAUCCAGACAUGGGAAAUAACAACUUGGCAAGCAAGCAAACAAACAAAUCCAUGAUUUAACAUCUGACUGCUCCGUACUGACAUUAUUCAUGUGAUUCAAGUAAAUCUCCAGGAACUGACAAGGCAAUGCACUAUAAGGACAAGAAGAAUAAAGAAGUAGUAAGUCUCUGAACAAUUCUUUCUGUGACAACUGUGGGAGGAUUUUGAUAAAUGUUGGCAACAGAGCACUGCAUGUGAUGUAGGGA